CAUGGUUUCUUCCGGCAGAGAGCAGGUUAUUCAGAGUGGCAACUAGAUUUCUCAGGUUACAGAGCUCAUGACCCCGUGUCGAGAAGAACCUCCUCUUAUCAGAUGAUGCACAGACGUGGGCCACAGUGCCUGGAUCUAUGUUCUUUAUCUCAUUCCGUGUAAUCUGGCUGGAUAGCUAUUCCUCUGCUGUACGGAAUGCAUAAAUUUGAAAGAUGGUGGCCCACGCGGCAUCUCUGGGCACGACUAUGUUCGUCGAUCCUCCUAAGGAAUUGUGUACAAAGGAUCUUGAAGCUAUAUAAGCACGCUGUGGGUUAUUGGAUUCCUCUGGCAUCGCAGCACUUCUUCCUCACAGCUCUGACUGAACUCAUAGAGGACCGCUAAGCUUCUGGUUGCUGAGAGGACAGGGUCUAGACCCAGCGUGAUCAUGCCAACUGACUGGACUUCAACCCUGGAAGCUACACCACUGGCCCCAGAGGAUCUUGGGAGCUCAUGUGAGGUGUGAGAUACGGAGUUGCUUCAGACUCAGCAGCUGAUCAUGAUUUGCCUCGUGCUCUAGCAGGAGUGUGAUUUUGCCAGCAGCAGAUAGUUUCUGU